CAAUUCAGGGGCUGCAUCCUUCGGAGGACGCAGCCUACGCGGUCUGCGGAGGUGAGUCCUUCGGAGGCACGUUCGAGGGCCGCAUUAACUGUUGUGAAAUGAGACGGUCUGGCCUUCGGAGGAUUUCCGGGUUGCGUCACCAAUUGUUCACGCCCUCACCUUUAAGUCAAGGUUUAUGCUGUCCAGGCCCACGAAAGAGAGAGAAAGAGAGAGAGAAAGGAAGAAAGAAAGAAAGAAAGAAAGAAAGAAAGAAAGAAAGAAAGAAGAGAAGAUAAUUUAUGGAGCCAGAGCUGUUACUUUUAUUUACUUAUUUUUUAAUUUUAUGCUGGAAGAAGAGGAGAAACGCCUCCGUCGGCUGGUGUAUCUCUGGCUGAGAGAGGACCGUAGAGACCAGACACCUGUACUGCAGGAUCAACCUGGCUGUUCCUGUACUGGACACAUGUUUUGGGCAGGGUGACACCAGGCCAGACUUCAGGCUGAGCAGAGAGUCUCUGGCAGUGCUGCUGGACCCCCUCCACCAGGAGCGGAGACAAUAAUAAAAACUCUUCUUUAAUAAAAUAAAAAAUUCAGUCCC